rnacentral:rRNA from 1 species
GACAGAGGGUGCAAACGUUGCUCGGAAUCACUGGGCGUAAAGGGCGUGUAGGCGGGAAUGUAAGUCGGGCGUGAAAUCCCUAGGCUCAACCUAGAAACUGCACUCGAAACUGCGUUUCUUGAGUGCCGGAGAGGAAAGCGGAAUUCCUGGUGUAGAGGUGAAAUUCGUAGAUAUCAGGAGGAACACCAGUGGCGAAGGCGGCUUUCUGGACGGUAAC